CAGUCGUACCUGCGGAUAAUCAGCCUUUCGGGUGCGAUUCUGUGGGGCGUGAGGAGCUUAACCGCCUUCAUGUUUUGCAUAUUCGUGCACAUUUGGUGUACUUGUCCGUGUGGUGGGUUAACAUCAAUUUCGGUCGUCAUAAAAUGAUUGGAGGAAUGUGGCUUUGAUCUCGUAUCGAAGUGUUAUAGACUCUGGUAGAUGGUGACGAUUGGGGAUUUGGAGGAUUGCAACGGAUACCCUUCGGGGCUACCUGUCUGGUCUCUGAUCGUUGCUCUGGUGCCGAAAGCUUGCUUACGGUCAUCGAAAAUGAUUUCAGAAGGUAGAACGGGUUAAAUUCGUUAAGGAUGUUGACGUAAUGGCUUUAAACGACCGUCUUGAAACACGGACCAAGGAGUCUAGCAUAUAUGCGAGUGUU
rnacentral:rRNA from 1 species